AGGGGGAGGGACGUACGUCUGAGCAGCCCCAGUUCUGAAGGCGGGAUGAGCAGGAAUCCACCGGCUGCAGUAGGACUCACGCUGCUGCCAACGGUGUCCUUUCAACAGUGAGGAUCCCUCCCCUCCACUGCGUGUUUUGGAAGAACUCUGAUCAGGAGCUCAAGGUCUUCAAUGUCUCCACUCCCAGUUGAAAGGACAAACCAGGCUAGGUGAGUUCCAGCCUGGCCCCGUAGGCAGUGGACACCUGAGUGUACCCACCACCACGUUGCAAGACGGCCUUGGCCUGCCAGCUUCCCUCUUCUCCUCCUGAUGGUUGAGCCCAGUCACCUCCUUGCCAGUGGGGCUGCCCAACUGUCCCCAGACUAUCCUGGAUUUGGAAGCCCGGCUCUUAAUCACCACUUUGAUUUCCACUCUCUCAAAGCCUCUGGAGGGGUCAGACUUGACCAACAUUUUUGGAGAUGGAGCAUUGGACCAUUUCGAGCCUCCAACGACUCACAACUGGAUAUUUGGGUGCUAAAUGCAAGAUCCCAGUGCUGCACGGACGGGGCAUAUCGUGUCCUGAAAUCGAGAGGUGUUAUUUCUGGAAGACUGUGCCACCGCAGCUCCUACCUCGCCCCACAGCGUAGACUCACCUCAUCAAGAUUAAUAUUCGCUGAUCUUCAUCCCAACAGUCUGCUUAGCCCACGCGCCUUUCUUCUCCCGGAGCUGCUCUGAACUGAACUCGGCUGCCUCAGCUCUCCGCACCUGGAAAUGUGUGUUUACUUAUAAAUGUGUGCGUAACUGCUUUAAAAUGA